UUUUUUUAUAACAACUGGCAAAUGUAAUUCGCCUGCUGCCCAAGUUUUUCCAAACAUUGUAACCAGUUCCCCAGAAUACCAAAUUCAAUUUCAAGUGUUAAAAAUAAGUAUCAAUAUUUACUUUAUUCGUAACAGUGAGAAUAGGCAUGCUAGAGUACAAUUUAACACUGGCUUCGCCUUGCACAAUUUAAGCGAAACUCCUUUUGUAAGUUGGCGGCCUUCGGCCACGCUUCUGAUUGUAACCCUGGGUCGGACCAACACCGGCUUCGCUUUGCACAGUAUUUUUGAGCGACACUUUUAUUUUAAUUUUGAGGUGAUAUGGCAACACACCCUUAUUGCCAUUAUCAGAUAUUUCUCUUGGAAACCGUUUCGAAAUAAUAUACAAAAUCAAAACAUUACUUUACUGCUAACCAAAUGAAAUAUAAAUACAACUAUUUUUAUAAUCGCGUGUGAACAGAUUAAAGUUACUAUUUUGGAUAGUGUGUGUUAAAGAAGUGAACCAUUUAUGUGUAAAAUAUAAUACACAGACAUAUAUUAGAUCAACAGCAACAACUCUUGCGAAUCUCAUAAGGAUUGGUCAAUUAGUUUGGCUGAAACAAGAAUCGGAACCGUAAAAGAAAACACGGCCUGGCGCACCCUCACGAAAUAGAUGAUUGCUGCGAAAACUUCACUGUCAAAAGUUUUUUCUAAGUUUGGUUUACACACGGCAAGGGGACACGUCUCACGUACACGUCUAUGAAUGAAUUUACUAUAAAUUAUGUGAAUUCGCUUUGGUGUACACCGAAUUGAAGAACAAAUUUGGGCUUAUUUUACUCAGUUCUGCAAAAUUUUCUUUGGUGUGUAGACAAAAUUGGUGACUCAUUCGUGUUGGUUUUCGUAUGUGCAUAUGUGUGAUAAAAACUGAACAAUUAUCACUUGAUAAAUAAAUGUAUAUUUCUCUGUGGAAAAGUGGCAUUAACGGAUAAAUAUAAGCAUUUAAUCACUUUAUCUGUAAAAUGAAGGUUCUUUCUAAGUUUACAAUAUAUCUUUGGUUUCACACGCAGUACAAUUACUCAAGUUCGGAGCGUCGUCAAAGUGUCAUAUUUGCAACAUGAGUGUGUUUUCGUUUAAAUUUUUAUCGGCUUUCUUUAAUAGUAGUUUCAGUCACAGGCUUACGUAUGGGAAAAAUUUUAGUUUUUGAGUAACUCUAUUUUAAAGUUAGCAUGAUAUAUAUAAAAUAAGAUCCGAAUUGUGAAAACAUACAUCGCUGAGUAAGUUAAUAUUACAUCUGAAAAUAAUAAAUUCAUUUGUAAAGCGA